rnacentral:tRNA from 5 species
GGGGAGUUACCAGAGUGGCCAAAUGGGGCAGACUGUAAAUCUGCUGACGUACCGUCUACGGUGGUUCGAAUCCAUCACUCCCCA